CACGUAGGCACCAAGCGUUGUCCGGAUUUAUUGGGCGUAAAGAGCUCGUAGGUGGUUCGGUAAGUCGGGUGUUAAACCCCCAGGCUCAACCUGGGGACGCCACUCGAUACUGCUGUGACUAGAGUCCGGUAGGGGAGCGUGGAAUUCCUGGUGUAGCGGUGAAAUGCGCAGAUAUCAGGAGGAACACCAGCGGCGAAGGCGGCGCUCUGGGCCGGUACUGACACUGAGGAGCGAAAGCGUGGUUAGCGAACAGG
rnacentral:rRNA from 1 species